GAUGAACGCUGGCGGCGUGCCUAAUACAUGCAAGUCGAGCGAAUGGAUUAAGAGCUUGCUCUUAUGAAGUUAGCGGCGGACGGGUGAGUAACACGUGGGUAACCUGCCCAUAAGACUGGGAUAACUCCGGGAAACCGGGGCUAAUACCGGAUAACAUUUUGAACCGCAUGGUUCGAAAUUGAAAGGCGGCUUCGGCUGUCACUUAUGGAUGGACCCGGGUCGCAUUAGCUAGUUGGUGAGGUAACGGCUCACCAAGGCAACGAUUCGUAGCCGACCUGAGAGGGUGCUCGGCAACACUGGGACUGAGACACGGCCCAGACUCCUACGGGAGGCAGCAGUAGGGAAUCUUCCGCAAUGGACGAAAGUCUGACGGAGCAACGCCGCGUGAGUGAUGAAGGCUUUCGGGUCGUAAAACUCUGUUGUUAGGGAAGAACAAGUGCUAGUUGAAUAAGCUGGCACCUUGACGGUACCUAACCAGAAAGCCACGGCUAACUACGUGCCAGCCGCCGCCGUAA
rnacentral:rRNA from 1 species